AAGGGGACACGUGUCAGCCACUGAAGUAAGGCGCGUGCGUGUCGAUAGCCCACAACCAGGUGAUUUUGUCAUUGCUUACGACACCAGUUUUGGAGCGUGGCGGCACUGGCAAUACGGUCCCAGAGAACCGAACUCUCCUCGGGUUUCGCGUGGGGUCGGUGAGCUUCCACGUGCGGAUUUGAGAAACGGUUGGGAGAGGACCGACACGUAUGUAGGUACGCGCGUGCGGGUAGGUCGUUCAAAAUGAUGACGUAAUUUUUCAUCACCAAUGCUUGCGGGUGCAGUGUUAAAAUUUACAUUAAUUUUCAAUUUAUUUAAAAUAUUUUUUGCACUUAAAAUGUAUUAAUUGUUUCUUAAUUAAGACAUAAUAAUCUUUGACUUA